AUUGAACGCUGGCGGCAGGCUUAACACAUGCAAGUCGAGCGAGCGGCGGACGGGUUGGUAAUGUCUGGGAAACUGCCUGAUGGAGGGGGAUAACUACUGGAAACUGUUGCUAAUACCGCAUUCCAUCAGCUGUGCCCAGAUGGGAUUAGCUAGUAGGUGGGGUAAUGGCGCACCUAGGCGACGAUCCCUAGCUGGUCUGAGAGGAUGACCAGCAACACGGGAACUGAGAAACGGUCAAGAGUCCUACGGGAGGCAGAAGUGGGGAAUUUUGAAAAAUGGGCGAAAGCUGGAUGAAGCCAUGCCGCGUGUAUGAAGAAGGCCUUCGGGUUUUAAAGUACUUUCAGCGGGGAGGCGUUACCCGCAGAAGAAGCACCGGCUAACUCCGUGCCAGCAGCCGCGGUAAUAC
rnacentral:rRNA from 1 species